rnacentral:rRNA from 1 species
UACGGGGGGGGCAAGCGUUGUUCGGAAUUACUGGGCGUAAAGAGCUCGUAGGCGGCUUGUCACGUCGGGUGUGAAAGCUCGGGGCUUAACCCCGGGUCUGCAUUCGAUACGGGCUGGCUGGAGUGUGGUAGGGGAGAUCGGAAUUCCUGGUGUAGCGGUGAAAUGCGCAGAUAUCAGGAGGAACACCGGUGGCGAAGGCGGAUCUCUGGGCCAUUACUGACGCUGAGGAGCGAAAGCGUGGGGAGCGAACAGG